GUAGGUGGCAAGCGUUGUCCGGAAUUAUUGGGGCGUAAAGCGCGCGCAGGCGGUUCUUUAAGUCUGAUGUGAAAGCCCACGGGCUCAACCGUGGAGGGUCAUUGGAAACUGGAUAACUUGAGUACAGAAGAGGAAAGCGGAACUCCACGUGUAGCGGUGAAAUGCGUAGAGAUGUGGAGGAACACCAGUGGCGAAGGCGGCUUUCUGGUCUGUAACUGACGCUGAGGCGCGAAAGCGUGGGGAGCAAACAGGAUUAGAUACCCUGGUAGUCCACGCCGUAAACGAUGAGUGCUAAGUGUUAGGGGGUUUCCGCCCCUUAGUGCUGCAGCUAACGCAUUAAGCACUCCGCCUGGGGAGUACGGCCGCAAAGGCUG
rnacentral:rRNA from 1 species